rnacentral:rRNA from 1 species
AUACGGAGGAUCCGAGCGUUAUCCGGAUUUAUUGGGUUUAAAGGGUGCGCAGGCGGCCAUUUAAGUCAGCGGUUAAAUCGUGGGGCUCAACCCCAUUCUGCCGUUGAUACUGGGUGGCUUGAUUGCGGUCGAGGUUGGCGGAAUUCGUUGUGUAGCGGUGAAAUGCAUAGAUAUGACGAAGAACACCGAUUGCGUAGGCAGCUGACCAGACCGCAAAUGACGCUCAUGCACGAAAGUGCGGGGAUCGAACAGGAUUAGAUACCCUGGCAGUCCGCACAGUAAACGAUGAAUACUUGUUUUCGGCGAUAUAAUGUCGGAGGCAAAGCGAAAGCGAUAAGUAUUCCACCUGGGGAGUACGCCGGCAACGGUGAAACUCAAAUGAAUUGACGGGG